rnacentral:rRNA from 1 species
GCGGGAGCUGAUCCAGCCAUGCCGCGUGCAGGAUGACGGCCCUAUGGGUUGUAAACUGCUUUUAUACGGGAAGAAACGCGCCCACGUGUGGGCGUCUGACGGUACCGUAAGAAUAAGGACCGGCUAACUCCGUGCCAGCAGCCGCGGUAAUACGGAGGGUCCGAGCGUUAUCCGGAAUCAUUGGGUUUAAAGGGUCCGUAGGCGGGCCUGUAAGUCAGGGGUGAAAGUUUGUGGCUCAACCAUAAAAUUGCCUUUGAUACUGCAGGUCUUGAGUCAUGGUGGGGUCGCCGGAACAUGUGGUGUAGCGGUGAAAUGCAUAGAUAUCACAUAGAACACCGAUCGCGAAGGCAGGUGGCCAACCAUGUACUGACGCUGAUGGACGAAAGCGUGGGUAGCGAACGGGAUUAGAUACCCCGGUAGUCCACGCCGUAAACGAUGGAUACUAGCUGUGGGGACUUCGGUCUCCGUGGCCAAGCGAAAGUGAUAAGUAUCCCACCUGGGGAGUACGUUCGCAAGAAUGAAACUCAAA